CCGUGCUAGAUGGGGAGUUAGCGGUGCCCUAUAACCUGCAAUCCGCUACAGCAGGAUUGAAUUCCUCAUUGCGGCUUCUAUCUUGUAAGGUCUGCCCUGUAAAAGUGGCGUUGAUAGUUGGGUCCCACGCAAUGAAAGCCCAUGAACCCCGUCAGAUUCGGAAGAAAGCAGCGGUAAGUGGAUACUUUCAUGUGCCGUGGAUUAACCUGACUUGAGUUAACUAUACAGGUAACGCUUAUGAGGUUAAGUCAAGGUGAGGUGCACGG
rnacentral:SRP_RNA from 2 species